UUUUUUUGAUUAUAUAACUUUUUUGUUAUCUUUAGGCCAAUUUGCACAGACUACAGCUGUAUCUACCUCUUGUACUACACCUGUAUCUACCUCUUGUGCUACACCUGGUAAGUUAAACAACUAUUAGUUUUUAAUGUGCAAACUUUAUAAUAUGUUUA
rnacentral:lncRNA from 1 species